AAAUUCUUAUUUUUAACUUCCUCUCCGAAACAAACGUGGCAAAAAUCCCCUUCUGUUUCGCGGUCCUCUACCUGAUGAUUCCAAUCUUUUCGAACUGGGCGCCUGAGACAACCGCUCCUCCGAAAUUCGCAUAGACGGCACGGUAAAAAUCCAGCCUUUACCCCUUCUCUCAGACCAUCUUUAAAUACCGGCAUUCUCUACCACUUCCUCUCCACGAGCUCAGUAACUUCCUUUCCGGCAAAUCGCCUUCCAUCUCCUCCCAGCACCCCUUUGGCUUCCAGUCGCAUUCUCUGGCGAUCUUUCUUUCGUCUGCAUCCCGCUUCAAUUCCC
rnacentral:lncRNA from 1 species